UACUCCUUUGCUUUGCUUCUAAUAAAUCACUAUCGUCUAGUUACCAUAAGAAACCAAACGUUAUGUGUAAGGCAAUCAAUAGCUGCAUAAUAUUUUUAAACGAUAAAAGAUCGCCUCCCUUAUAGCUCAAUGUGCCCCGUUUUAACUUUAUCAAAAUGAAAUUUUGGUUCCUUUCUUCUUACAUAUUUUUUGUAUGUGGUCACUUCGCAUCUCUUGAUUGUCUCUGAUUCCAAAUUUUUAAACUCUUUUCCGUCACGCAACGUAUUAAGAUAAGCAAUGUCUCAUAAAGAGUGACAAAGUCAGAUAAAACAACAGUACUUGCUUGUAGCUGUGUACUAACGAUUAGAAACUUUACGAGCACCAUCCAAAGGCACAACAUAUUUUGGUUUUUUUCGAGUUUUUGACAGAUUUUUAAGUACCAUCGAUUCUUCAUCUAAUUUGGAUACUAAAAUUUGCCAUCAGCUUGUAGACCCAGUUCACAGUUCAUUUAGUGUUUUGUGUCGGUCUAGUUGAAAUAUGCAGGGAAUUAUACAAGCGAAGACAUGAUUUCAGGGCGCCCGCGCCCCCCUAGAUCGUCGCGCCCUAGGCUGCAGCUUAACUAGGUUCACACCCAAUAAUCAGUUUCCUCGUGGUUUGAUGGGAUAUUUCUCAUCCGAUUUUAAUGUCCGAUAUGUCUAGAGCCUCAGAAACGACAUAUGAAAAUCUGAAAUUUGAAACUGCAAUUUCUGCGCAGUGCCUGGGAACCAUUAUUCCAAAAACUUGCAAGGCAAAUCAUAACGGUUUUGAAGAGUUAUAUGAAGGUAAGUAAAUAAUACAAUGUGUAUUUAGUAUUUUUAUUAUCGAAUAUUACAAUUAUUUUUUAGAGUAAAAGUAACAUAUUUAAAAGUAAUUAUUUAGUGUUGUCUGAAUCUGUGUCGCCUAUAGCGGUAAAAAAUGCUUCAUACAAUACAUUACGGUGCUGUUGUGAA